rnacentral:lncRNA from 1 species
AAAGGCGUUGGAGAGCGUGGUGGCCAAGGUGAUGAGCGCCAACAAAGCAACCAGCAGGACUUUCCAGGGCAGGGCGAUGGAGUCCUGGUAAAUGUAGCCGUCGGCGCUGCAGUUGUGGGAGAGGUAAAAUCGUCAUCGAAGACUCCAGCACUGAACAACCCUUUCCUGUGUAGCGAUAACCCAUAGCCAGGCUCCUCUCAAACAGCCUCACUAUCUCUGAAAGUUGCAUUUCAAAGCAAAACUCCUGCAAGUACCAUUUACAAGAAGGAUCUACGCGAGGCACAAAGCAAAUCUCAAGCAAACUGAAACUGACAGUUAAUCAAAAAAGAUGAUUAAGAAAAUAACCGUAAUCAAAGGAAAUAACUUCUCCAUCAACAAUCAGCAUACGCCACGACUGCAAGCUCCUGCUGCCUGCACCUCCUUGCCAUGAUGGACUGUACCUUGAACCCUGUGCUGAAAGAAGCCUGUUCUUUCAUAAGUUGCUUUCAUCAGAGUAUUAUGUCACAGCAACAGAAGAGAAACUAGGACAGCAUAAAUAAAAUUACAUUUCAUAAAUUUGCCAGCACCCAAAUCUAACUCAACCCUCCCAAGUAUACAGAGCCAUGUUCUAUCUUGUCCUUGUCAAAUACCCCUGUCUUUCUCUCAGGUACUUCCAAAGGCUGAUGGCUGACACCUUGGCAACAAAAAUGUAUAACUACAUUGUCUUGGUUCAUUCUUCACUCAGUAGAUUAUUGCUUUGGAUCCUAAAUGCCAAUAUUUUUUCUGUAUAUAUUAAAUGAAAAGGUCUAAGACAGUGAUGACUUCUCUUGUUAGAAAAGUUUACUUUUCUGCCAAAUGUAUACUCUAUUUUCAGUAUUAGAGUAUGCUUUUAUUAUGUCUAUUUUUUUCUCUACUACCGCUUGACUAUAACAGACUAGUUAUGUGAAUUUGUCCUAACGUAGUAAAUUUUAAGGCUAAAACUUUGGGCUGUGGUGAGUUCUCAGAUCAUUGUCAGUUUGUUUCCAAAAGGAAUAUGAGACCCCAGUUCUCUCUUAUUCUUCCUUCUGCUUCUUAAUCACGAGGUAAUGCAGUUUACCAUUUGCCCCAUCUUGGUCCUCUGGCAUCCUUAUCUCUAGUCCAAAUAUAGGUUAACAAAAUCUUAGAAUUUCCAAUCCAAAAGCAUGAGCCAAUAUGCACCUUUCAUAUUCAUUAAUCAAUCAUUUAACAUUUGGGUUGUUAUAGUAACAAGAAGCUAACUAACAAAGUCCCUUCAUGUCCUGAGAGAGGUAUCAUAUAUUUUUUUAAAAUGUUUUUUUGGUGUUAUUUUCAUUAUGUUUGCAUUUUAAGUAUGAGUGUGUAUAGAAAAUUGGCAUUUAGUUGAGUAAGAUUGCUGAGUAUUUUGAGUCAUAAAAAUUGGGUUGUCAUUUGUUUUAUAUUUUUGUGCAUAUGUAUGUUUAUUUUUACUUAUUAUUAAUGUUUUAUUGUUUAAAAACAGAUGAAUUC